GUGUUGGUCUGUAUCUAUCUUUUUCUGUGUGUGCAAAAGAGAAGGGCAGAGUGUAUGAGUGCGCUGCCCCCGAUUCCUACUCCGCCCGCCCUCUCCUCGCGCACUAGGAGAUAGAGCCAGACGGUUAUGAGAAACCGAAAAUGGACCGCCUAC
ensembl:ncRNA C53B7.11 ncRNA